CACCACCCAACCCAGACCUUCUACUCUAAUGGCAACUGCUGUUGUUUCCAAGGCCACAUUAUCCAAAUGCUUCUCCAACAAGAGCUUCGUGCUAAGUGUCCAUCGCCUUCAGAAUUCCAAAAAACAAUCAAGAAAUGAUGAACUCCAACAAAUAUUUCGUUACUUGGAUACUAAUGGUAAUGGGAAAAUUGAAGGAUCUGAACUCAGAUCCUACCUUGCCUCCAAAAAGGAGUUCAUGUCACCUGAGGAGGCUCAAGCUGUGACCAAUGAACUCGUUGCAGC